rnacentral:rRNA from 1 species
GUGAGGAAUAUUGGUCAAUGGGCGAGAGCCUGAACCAGCCAAGUCGCGUGAAGGAAGAAGGAUCUAUGGUUCGUAAACUUCUUUUGCAGGGGAAUAAAGUGCGGGACGUGUCCUGUUUUGUAUGUACCCUGAGAAUAAGGAUCGGCUAACUCCGUGCCAGCAGCCGCGGUAAUACGGAGGAUCCGAGCGUUAUCCGGAUUUAUUGGGUUUAAAGGGUGCGUAGGUGGUUUGAUAAGUCAGCGGUGAAAGUUUGCAGCUUAACUGUAAAAAUGCCGUUGAAACUGUCGGACUUGAGUGUAAAUGAGGUAGGCGGAAUGCGUGGUGUAGCGGUGAAAUGCAUAGAUAUCACGCAGAACUCCGAUUGCGAAGGCAGCUUACUAAGCUACAACUGACACUGAAGCACGAAAGCGUGGGGAUCAAACAGGAUUAGAUACCCUUGUAGUCC